GCGGUCAUGAUGGGGAAGAAGGGCACAUGAAGAAAUAACUCAACUCAUGACUGAGCUAUAACAACAGAAAGAGCAUGCUGCUUCUUGAUUUGGUUUCUUCAAAAUGUGUGGAUUAAUUAAUUUUUGUUAGUAGAUGUAUGUGCGGUUGAGUUAGUAAUGCACGUGCCCUGCUUCUCCAUCUUGCUCUA
rnacentral:pre_miRNA from 1 species